CAUACCCUUUCCUGCGGAAUAGCUCCGGGAAACUGGAAUUAAUACCGCAUACGCCCUACGGGGGAAAGAUUUAUCGGGGAAGGAUUGGCCCGCGUUGGAUUAGCUAGUUGGUGGGGUAAAGGCCUACCAAGGCGACGAUCCAUAGCUGGUCUGAGAGGAUGAUCAGCCACAUUGGGACUGAGACACGGCCCAAACUCCUACGGGAGGCAGCAGUGGGGAAUAUUGGACAAUGGGCGCAAGCCUGAUCCAGYCAUGCCGCGUGAGUGAUGAAGGCCUUAGGGUUGUAAAGCUCUUUCACCGGAGAAGAUAAUGACGGUAUCCGGAGAAGAAGCCCCGGCUAACUUCGUGCCAGCAGCCGCGGUAAUACGAAGGGGGCUAGCGUUGUUCGGAAUUACUGGGCGUAAAGCGCACGUAGGCGGAUAUUUAAGUCAGGGGUGAAAUCCCAGAGCUCAACUCUGGAACUGCCUUUGAUACUGGGUAUCUUGAGUAUGGAAGAGGUAAGUGGAAUUCCGAGUGUAGAGGUGAAAUUCGUAGAUAUUCGGAGGAACACCAGUGGCGAAGGGGGGUUACUGGUCCUUUUCUGUCCCUUAAGU
rnacentral:rRNA from 1 species